rnacentral:lncRNA from 1 species
AGGCUGGUUGGUCAGAAAGCCCCAAGGGCCUGCCUGUCUCUCCACCACCAGUACUGGGAUUUCGCGUAUAUGCAACCAUGCCAAGAUAUUUUCUUUCACAUAUGAAAUGCAAUUUAUUCAUGUUUUGUCACCAAGCCUUUAAAUUAAACCUUGAGAACUUAGCCAUUCUGCAUAACUGAAAUUUUAUACCCUCUGAACGAUAUCUCCCCAUCUCCCCCAUCCACUGAUAAUUAUCUAUCAUUCAAUUAUUUGUUUGAGUUUUAGUAUCCUCUUUCUUUUUUUUUUAUUCUCUCGUAUAUUAUAUCCCCCUCCUUCUAUCCCUCCCUGCCCCUCCUGACCUCCCUCCUCCACCAGAUCUACUCUUCUUCCAUUUCCCUUCAAAUAAAAGAGCAGGUCUCCCAGCGAUAUCCACCAAAUAUUCAGGAUAUCCACCGAAUGUGGCCCAAUAAGACUAGACACAAACCGUCAUUUCAAGGCUGGACAAGGAAAGCCAGUAGGAGGAAAAGAGUGCUGGCAAAAGAGUCAGAGACAACCCCUGUAGCUGGUCUUUGCUACUUUGUGGGUUCUUCUCCCCUCUCUCAGUUUCACCCAAUAACACUAGAUAGGGUAUAGAGGGGAGAAGGGAAUUAGGAAAAUCCUUGAAUUUAAUUUCUUUCCUUUUGUUUCUUCUCCGACCACAGCUACUAGCAAACCAUAACCAACCUCCUUAAAUGACUGACAACCACUGACGCCACCUCUCCGGGCUUUUUCACAUCACUUUGCAGUGUUUUAAGGCAGGCGAAGGACAUUUCUAGAAAGCACAGGAGAAGGUCUACACUCUAGGUAAUGCAGUAUGCUGAGGUACAUUCUCCCGUGGUACCUGCAAUGGAACCAGGGCAGAGGAUGCCGAGGGGUGCCCUCUGAAAAGUUCCCAGAAUUCUAAAUAUCAUACAACUCAGAAAUUAUCUGCAGCUGGCAAACCACAGUUUGGCUAAAGCACGAGGCAAACAUAGCUGCUGUGGACAGUCCGAAGCAGCCCCACAUCCUUACACCUGGGAGUAAAAUGAAAACGCAUUCUUAU